UUAUUGGGUUUAAAGGGAGCGUAGGCUGGAGAUUAAGUGUGUUGUGAAAUGUAGACGCUCAACGUCUGACUUGCAGCGCAUACUGGUUUCCUUGAGUACGCACAACGUUGGCGGAAUUCGUCGUGUAGCGGUGAAAUGCUUAGAUAUGACGAAGAACUCCGAUUGCGAAGGCAGCUGACGGGAGCGCAACUGACGCUGAAGCUCGAAGGUGCGGGUAUCGAACAGGAUUAGAUACCCUGGUAGUCCGCACAGUAAACGAUGGAUGCCCGCUGUUGGUACCUGGUAUCAGCGGCUAAGCGAAAGCAUUAAGCAUCCCACCUGGGGAGUACGCCGGCAACGGUGAAACUCAAAGGAAUUGACGGGGGCCCGCACAAGCGGAGGAACAUGUGGUUUAAUUCGAUGAUACGCGAGGAACCUUACCCGGGCUUGAAUUGCAGAGGAAGGAUUUAGAGAUAAUGACGCCCUUCGGGGUCUCUGUGAAGGUGCUGCAUGGUUGUCGUCAGCUCGUGCCGUGAGGUGUCGGCUUAAGUGCCAUAACGAGCGCAACCCCUGUCUUUAGUUGCCAUCAGGUAAUGCUGGGCACUCUGGAGAUACUGCCACCGUAAGGUGUGAGGAAGGUGGGGAUGACGUCAAAUCAGCACGGCCCUUACGUCCGGGGCUACACACGUGUUACAAUGGCCGGUACAGAGGGACGGUGUAAUGUAAAUUGCAUCCAAUCUUGAAAGCCGGUCCCAGUUCGGACUGGGGUCUGCAACCCGACCCCACGAAGCUGGAUUCGCUAGUAAUCGCGCAUCAGCCAUGGCGCGGUGAAUACGUUCCCGGGCCUUGUACACACCGCCCGUCA
rnacentral:ncRNA from 2 species